CUAUCAUCUGGAGGCCUGGAUGGGUGACCUCGCUCUUCUGAACCAUUUUUGGCUGACAGUGAAACAUGACCUCUGCUGACCUCAUCUGGACACAGGCCAGCUGUCUGCACACCACCUGGACGUCCAUCGUGUCCCAGGAGUCUCCACACACCGUCCGCCAGGAACCCUCGUGGA